rnacentral:rRNA from 1 species
AUGCACGCUGGCGGCGUGCCUAAUACAUGCAAGUCGAGCGAACAGACGAGGAGCUUGCUCCUCUGACGUUAGCGGCGGACGGGUGAGUAACACGUGGAUAACCUACCUAUAAGACUGGGAUAACUUCGGGAAACCGGAGCUAAUACCGGAUAAUAUAUUGAACCGCAUGGUUCAAUAGUGAAAGACGGUUUUGCUGUCACUUAUAGAUGGAUCCGCGCCGCAUUAGCUAGUUGGUAAGGUAACGGCUUACCAAGGCAACGAUGCGUAGCCGACCUGAGGGGGUGAUCGGCCACACUGGAACUGAGACACGGUCCAGACUCCUACGGGAGGCAGCAGUAGGGAAUCUUCCGCAAUGGGCGAAAGCCUGACGGAGCAACGCCGCGUGAGUGAUGAAGGUCUUCGGAUCGUAAAACUCUGUUAUUAGGGAAGAACAAAUGUGUAAGUAACUAUGCACGUCUUGACGGUACCUAAUCAGAAAGCCACGGCUAACUACGUG